GUAAUGCCUAGGAAUCUGCCUAGUAGUGGGGGAUAACGUCCGGAAACGGGCGCUAAUACCGCAUACGUCCUACGGGAGAAAGUGGGGGAUCUUCGGACCUCACGCUAUUAGAUGAGCCUAGGUCGGAUUAGCUAGUUGGUGAGGUAAUGGCUCACCAAGGCGACGAUCCGUAACUGGUCUGAGAGGAUGAUCAGUCACACUGGAACUGAGACACGGUCCAGACUCCUACGGGAGGCAGCAGUGGGGAAUAUUGGACAAUGGGCGAAAGCCUGAUCCAGCCAUGCCGCGUGUGUGAAGAAGGUCUUCGGAUUGUAAAGCACUUUAAGUUGGGAGGAAGGGCAGUUACCUAAUACGUGAUUGUUUUGACGUUACCGACAGAAUAAGCACCGGCUAACUCUGUGCCAGCAGCCGCGGUAAUACAGAGGGUGCAAGCGUUAAUCGGAAUUACUGGGCGUAAAGCGCGCGUAGGUGGUUUGUUAAGUUGGAUGUGAAAGCCCCGGGCUCAACCUGGGAACUGCAUCCAAAACUGGCAAGCUAGAGUAUGGUAGAGGGUGGUGGAAUUUCCUGUGUAGCGGUGAAAUGCGUAGAUAUAGGAAGGAACACCAGUGGCGAA
rnacentral:rRNA from 1 species